CUAGAAGACCUCCAAUGUCCCUUCCAACUCUGUUAUUCUAUUCUAUUCUAUAGCACUUUAAAAUGCUGAGAUGAUUCCCUUCCUGCUCCCAUUUUAUUUUACAGUUUUCCCCCUGAACACUUUGGGAAACUCUAUGGUCUGGUGAUGGGACUGUCAGCUGUGGUGUCCCUCCUACAGUAUCCCUGUUUUAUACUAAUCAAGGGUCCACUAAAAGGGGAUUCCUUUUAUGUUAACAUUGCCUUCAUAGUGUUAAUGCUUCUGGCUUUUGUCAAUCCUUUCACGGUGUGGCGGGAAUGUAAGCGACGACAGAAGGAGCAGGCUGCAAGAAAGCCAGGCCUAGAGACUUCCCUCUGAGUUCAUCCCAGUUUAGACUUUGGAAACCUCACCUAACAAAAGGGACCCUUACGAAGGCCUGUGUGGGAUUAAACACUGUCUCUAAAUCUUGAAGCAGCAAAAUAGGCCCAUAUGAUCAGGUGCUCUUAAAUCCCUCAAAUUUAGAAGGGUUUAACUGUGUCUAAAUUUGGGCUAGGUUACUAAUUCCAUGUUUCAAAACAGGGUUUAAAUACACAGUCCCCCAUCCCCCCCCCCGGUAGCAUUUUAUAGAAAUUAAUACCAGAUUCAUAAUUUGGAGUGGAGGGAAUUUAUAAUAUUUUUCACUGUUUUGUAUUUUGUAUCUUCUUUUUCAGAGAUCUAUUUUUGUUCAUUGUAUACAAUUUUACUAUAGAAACCAAUUUAUUUUUUUUCCAAGCUAAAAAUGUUUAAUGAACCAGAAGCUGUAUUUUUUAAUGUGACAGUAUUUUAACCUCCCUUUAAACUUUUGAAUAUGUUGAGAAAUCUUCUAUUCUCUAGUUUUUAAUUAUUUUAAUAUUAUAUUUAAUGCUUGUUUCUACAAAUUGAACUACAUGUUAACUUUGAAGAAUGAACAAAAAAAAUUUUUUUAAAGCCCAGGAGCAAAAAUUCAGCUAUUAAUAAAAAUGAUCUAUCAUAAAAUCACGUGCCAGUCAAUGAAAGCUAUAAGGGCAGGAAACAGACGAGGUGUUUUUUUUAAAUAAUUGGACCUCAAGGAUCCAAUGUUAAAACAAUAUCAAAAAUUAGAGAAAAGACAGAGUCCAUGAAUGCUCUAUAUAUACUAUGAUAAAAUAGCAAAAGAUUAAAAUUCUCAUUUCUCAGGCUUAGGGAUCCACAACCUUCACUUUUUUUUUCAUCUCUCUAGACAUUGAAUUCUCAAUGGGGCUUUAUACUUCACAGUCAAGCUCCUGGAAAAGAACAUGGGGUAGUCAGUUAUUGGAUCACAAAGCUGCCCCCCUCCACAAAUAAGUUAGCCUAGACCAGGGGUCCCCAAACUUUAAGACUUGUGGACUUCAACUCACAGAAUUAUCCAGCCAGCUAUGAGUUGAAGUCCACAAGUCUUCAAGUUGCCAAGUUUGAUGACCUCUGGCCUGGACUAUGAGUCUUACCACGUGCUGGAAAUCUCCUGCAGAUUGGGAGUUGUCCCAUAGCACAAUAUACCAUCUGUCGGCUACUGAAAACUCAGUUAUUUUAUUUUGUGGCUUCUGCAUUGGAAAGAAUAGUUAUGGAAAGGUGUAUCUUCCACCCUUCAGAUAAAGAUUGGAGAGGCUGACUCCUUGCCAUCCCCACCCAUGUCUUCACAUCUUAAAACAUCCCUGAAAGCAAUUUACAAAUUGAGGCAGUCAAGAAGCAAAAGCAAGUGAGUGUUACGUUCCAUUGGGAUCCAAGUGCUAAUCCAAUGGAGUGCAGUAUACCAAGGCUCUGUUAUGAUACUUGUCUUCUACAUUUUCAUUCCUUUGAGAGGGUAAAACCAACUCUGUCUUCUGGUACACUAAGAUAGAAUCCAAACUUCUAUCCUUUUGGUUUUUUUUAAAGCUGGAAACCAAUACCUAGUAAAACAGUGGCCAUUGUUUUUUGGGGUGCUUUGUUCGCAUCCUUCAUUUUGGAAGGAAGUGAGAGAUAACCAAACACUCAAUUUCAAGAUGUCAAGGCUUAGAAAUGUUUCCACAAUUAUUUAUGGCUGAGAGAGAUAAGCUAGUCCAGACAAGAAGAUGGAUGCAAUGGAGUGUGGUGAAAACAUUGUGUUGGGGUAUCUUGUAAUUCUUUCACAGGAAUAGCAGCUGAGAAAAAUUGUUUUGGCUCUUUCUCCACAUCUUAACUCAAGGAAGUAGAAAAUGAGUUAGGACCUUCUUUGAGACAUAUCUGACUCAGAAAAAUACCCUGCUGACCUAGUGGACGGUUUCCAGAUGGACUGAUCCUUAUAAAAGCAAACAAAGGCACAAUGCAGCUAGUCCAGUUUUUCCACUUCCAGUGAACUGGAAGAAGGGGGAAAAUAGAGCUUUAGAGGAAGUUAUAUUCUUAUUACUGAAGAAACAUUCUGUGAAUGAGGCAGAGCAAUGGCAUCAUGAAAACCUCAUCUAGAAGAACCUUGCAUGUUUUUCAGAACCAUCUCUUCAUUUACCCCUUAUACUUCUAAAUAACCAAGUUCUUUCUUCUCUUCAGCAGAGUUUAUCCAUUGCACAGUGCCAAGGUUUAUUUAAUCAAGAGUUGUUGAAAAAGCUGUAAUUGGCACUAAGUUGUAAAUCACAGCAGUUGAGUAUAUGCAAUAUGCUUAGCCAAGACCAAUGAAACUACACGUUGCCUUAAUCUGAUAGAAUAGUAAUCAUACACUAUAACAACCAGCUAGUUAGAUCUUCUAAAUGUUUAGCUGAGGGUUACUUAUAGGUACAGUGGAUUUGUAUCUUUCCAAAUGUUUUAUCGUAAUGUGCAACUUUAUUCUGAGUAAACAUAAGAUUGAGAUGU